rnacentral:rRNA from 1 species
UACGUAGGGUGCAAGCGUUAAUCGGAAUUACUGGGCGUAAAGCGUGCGCAGGCGGUUAUGUAAGCCAGAUGUGAAAUGCCCGGGCUUAACCUGGGAACUGCAUUUGUGACUGCAUGGCUAGAGUUGGCAGAGGGGGUAGAAUUCCACGGUGUAGCAGUGAAAUGCGUAGAUAAUGGUGGAGGAACACCGAUGGCGGAAGGCGGGUCUC